rnacentral:lncRNA from 10 species
AUCCCUGUGCACGGUGGGGCAGGAAGGAUGGGGGUUGGGGGAUGGAUCAGGGAAAGCUGAAGUUUUUCUUUGGAAACAGGGGAACUAGUAGAAUCCUAGGAGAAAACUGAGGCUUGGGGAGAGGAGGUCACAUUUCAAAGGUCACCUGGCCAGUAAUUUGAAGGUUCUGGAUUCAAACCCAGGAAGUCUCAACACAGAGCCCCAUCUCUCUACCAUCUAACAAGCCAGAUAUUGUCCUCUCUCUCUGGAGAAAGCAUCAGCAGGAGCCAGUUUGAUCCUCUGACAUUGCUGUGUGUGGAUAUGAGUUCUGGGGAUACUGCAGCCACCUCACAAGAAGCUUGUGCGUGACACUGGUGCAGCGGUGGGAAUGGCCAGGAGCAUCACAGAGACCACUGGAUAAAGCCAAUCCUGAAGCUUCCUGCUAUGUGGGCCAACAGAUGUCCUUAUUGUUCCAACGGUCUGAGAGCUCUGACUGCAGCAGGUCGAUGGCGACUGGCACUCCUAACCCUCCAUCCUUAACAGGGCGUUUUGCAAAAGGAGGGGAGAUUUG